rnacentral:tRNA from 1 species
ACCUGGGUGGCUCAGUCGGUUGAGCAUCUGACUUCAGCUCGGAUCAUGAUCUCACAGUUCAUGGGUUCGAGCCCCGCAUCAGGCU